rnacentral:rRNA from 1 species
AGAGGAUCCGUCAGGCUUCGGCCGAAGCGGUGAAUUCAAGCCCCGGUAAACGGCGGUGGUAACUAUAACCAUCCUAAGGUAGCGAAAUUCCUUGUCGGGUAAGUUCCGACCUGCACGAAUGGCGUAACGACUUCCCCACUGUCUCGACCAGGAGCUCGGCGAAAUUGCAGUACGAGUAAAGAUGCUCGUUAAGCGCAGAAGGACGAAAAGACCCCGGGACCUUUACUAUACCUUGGUAUUGGCAUUCGGUGUGGAUUGUGUAGCAUAGGCGGAAGGCUUCGAAGCCACGGCGCCAGCCGCGGUGGAGCCGCAAGGUGAAAUACCGCUCUGUUCGCAUUGGAUGUCUAACCUCGACCAGUCAUCCUGGUCAGGGACAGUGCCUGGCGGGUAGUUUAACUGGGGCGGUUGCCUCCCAAAGAGUAACGGAGGCGCUCAAAGGUUCCCUCAGCCCGGUUGGCAAUCGGGUGGCGAGUGUAAGUGCACAAGGGAGCUUGACUGCGAGACUGACGGGUCGAGCAGGGACGAAAGUCGGAACUAGUGAUCCGGUGCCGGUGUACGGACGCGGCAUCGCUCAACGGAUAAAAGGUACCCCGGGGAUAACAGGCUGAUCAUUCCCAAGAGUCCAUAUCGACGGGAUGGUUUGGCACCUCGAUGUCGGCUCGUCGCAUCCUGGGGCUGGAGCAGGUCCCAAGGGUUCGGCUGUUCGCCGAUUAAAGCGGCACGCGAGCUGGGUUCAGAACGUCGUGAGACAGUUUGGUCUCUAUCCUCUGCGCUCGUCGGAAUGUUGAGGAGGCCUGCCCAUAGUACGAGAGGACCUGGGUGGACGAACCUCUGGUAUGCCGGUUGUCACGCCAGUGGCACGGCCGGUUGGCUACGUUCGGAAGGGAUAACCGCUGAAAGCAUCUAAGCGGGAAGCCUGCUCCAAGAUAAGCAUUCCAUAGGACUACGGGUCCUUGAAGUCCCCAUGCAGAACACGUGGUUGAUAGGCCGGACGUGGAAGCCCCGCGAGGGGUGGAGCCGACCGGUACUAACGGACGAAAGGCAACACAAC